UGAUCUGCUUUUCAUUUUACAAACAAAGCCCCAACAGAAGUAUCCGUGUGCUGCUUGUGAGCUUGCACCAUGGGGCACGGGGCUGGCUGAUUUCUCUAGAGCUCGUUUGUUCUUGCUGUUGAAUUCUGAGUAUAGCAGUCUUGGUGGUGGUUAGCCAUUUCAAAAGAUGGUAAAAGUGUUAACUUGGAAAUGUCAUUUGUUGGGUCAUGGACUUCCUUGUUGUUCCCUGGGCCAUUACGAGUCUACCCUUAUGUGGGGGUGGGGUGGGGUGUGAACCUCAGCCCUUGGACCCCGCACUGAUGCUCAGCAUUCAUUCA